UACGGAGGGUGCGAGCGUUAAUCGGAAUUACUAGGCGUACAGCGCGCGUAGGCGGCUUGAUAAGCCGGUUGUGAAAGCCCCGGGCUCAACCUGGGAACGGCAUCCGGAACUGUCCGGCUAGAGUGCAGGAGAGGAAGGUAGACUUCCCGGUGUAGCGGUGAAAUGCGUAGAGAUCGGGAGGAAUACCAGUGGCGAAGGCGGCCCUCGGGACUGACACUGACGCUGAGGUGCGAAAGCGUGAGUAGCAAACAGG
rnacentral:misc_RNA from 1 species